rnacentral:lncRNA from 1 species
CAGACACCUAUGGUCAAUUAAUCUUUGACAAAUAAGGCAAGUGUAUAAAAUGGGAAAAAGGAAGUCUCUUCAGCAAGUGGUACUGGGAAAACUGAACAGCUCCAUGUAAAUCAAUGAAACUAGAACAUACCAUACACAAAAAUAAACACAACAUGGCUUAAAGAUUUAAACAUAAGACAACACCAUAAAACUCCUGGAAGUGAACAUAGGUAAAACAUUCUCUAACAUCAACCAUAAAUUUUUUCUUAGAUCAGUUUCCCAAGGCAAUAGUAAUAAAAAAUAAAUAAACCAAUGGGAUCUAAUCAAACUUACAAGAUUUUGCACAACAAAAGAAACCAUAAAAAAAGAACAAAAAGACAACCUAUGAAUGGGAGAAAUUGUUUCAAAUGACGCAACCCACAAGGGCUUAAUCUCCAAAAUAUACAAAUAAAUCAUACAACUCAACAGCAAAAAAGCAAAUAACCCAACUGAAAAAUGGACUGAAGACCCAAAUACACAUUUCUCCAAAGUAGACAUACAGAUGGCCAGCAGGAAUACUACUCAGCCAUAAAGAAGAACAAAAUAACAUUAUUUGCAACAACAUGGAAGGAACUACAGAUUCUCAUAAUAAGUGAAGUAAGUCAGAAAGAGAAAUACAAAUACCAUAUGAUAUCACUUAUAUGUGGAAUCUAAAACAUGGCAGAAAUGUACUAUCUACAGAACAGAAACAAUCAUGGCCAUAGAGAACAGACUUGUGGUUGCCAAGCGGGAGGGAGAGUUAAUGGGAUGGACUGGGAGUUUGGGGUUAGUAGAUGCAAGCUAUUGCAUUUGAAGUGGAUAAGGAAUGAGGUCCUGCUGUAUACAGCCCAGGGAACUAUAUCUAUCAUUGUGAUGGAACACGAUGGAAGAUAAUAUGAGAAAAAGUGUUCAUAUAUAUGUAUAACUGGGUCACUUUGCUGUACAGCAGAAAUUGACAGAACAUUGUAAAUCAACUAUAAUUUAAGACAUUUUUUAAAAUCGAGAGUUGGUUCUUUGAAAGGCUAAACAAAAUUGACAAAUCUCUGGCCAAGCUCACCAAGAAGAAAAGAGCAAGAACCCAAAUAAACAAAACAAGGAGUGAAAGAGUAUAAAUUACAACCAAUACUGCAGAAACACAAAAAACCGUAAGAGAAUACUAUGAACAAUUAUAUGCCAACAAAUUCAACAACUUAUAAGAAACAGACAAGUUUCUAAAAACAUACAGCCCACUAAAACUGAAUCAAGAUGAAACAGACAAUUUGAACAUACUGAUUACCGAAGUGAAAUAGAAUCUGUAAUUUAAAAAAAAUUCCCUGCAAACAAAAGUCUAGGAUCAGACGACUUCCUUAGGGAAUUCUACAAAACAUACAAAGAAAAUUUAUGCCAAUCAUUCUCAAACAUUUCCAAAAGACUGAAGAGGUGGAGACUACUCCUAAAGUCAUUCUAAGAAGCCACCAUCACCCUGAUAUCAAAACCAAAGACUAUCAAAAAAGAAACAUACAGGCCAAUAUUUUUGAUGAACAUAGAUACAAAAAUUCUCAGUAUUAGCAAAUCAAAUCAAACAACACAUAAAAAAAGUUCAUACACCAUGACCAAGUUGGAUUCUUCUUAGGGUCACAAUAUAUGAAAAUCUAUGUGAUAUAUCACAUCAAUAAAAUAAAAGAUAAAACCACAUGAUCAUCUCAAUAGAUGCAGUAGAGCAUUUGAUAUGCUUCAAUAUACAUUUGUCAUAAAAACUCUUACCAGAAUUCCUGGCAUAGGUCACAGCUGCAGGUCAGAUGUGGUCCCUGGCCCAGGAACUUCCAUAUGCUGCAGGCAUUGCCAUAUCUCAACCUAAUAAAAGCUAUUUAUGACACAUCCACAGCCAACAUAAUAUUCAAUGGUAAAAAGCUAAAAGCCUUCCUGCUAAAAUCUGGCAGGACAAGGAUGUCCACUCUAACCAUUUCUAUUCAGCAUAAUACCGGAAUUCCCAGCCAUAGCAAUAAAACAAAAAGAAGAAAUAAAAAGUGUCCAGAUUGAAAGGGAAGAGGUAAGAUUGUCAUUAUAUCAGAUUAUAUACAUUAUAUAUAUAUAUUUCUAUACAUUAUAAUAUAUGUAUAGAAAACCCUAAAGACUCCACACAAAAGCUACCAGAACUGAUAAAAAAAAAUUGGCAACAUAACAGGGUACAAGAUUAAUAUACAAAAAAUUAGUUGCAUUUCUUACGCUAACAAUGACAUAUCAGAAAGGGAAUGUAAACAAAAAAUCCUUUUCUGUGGGUGUGUGUGUAUUUUAGGGCCACACCUAAGACAUAUGGAAGUUACCAGGCUAGGGGUCAAAUUGGAGCCUCUGACCUACACCAUAGCCACAACAAUGUGGGAUCCCAGCUAUGUCUGUGACCUACACCACAGCUCACGGCAAUGCUGGAUUCUUAAACCACUGAGCAAGGCCAGGGAUCAAACCCACAUCCUCAUGAAUACUAGUUGGGUUUGUUACUGCUGAGCCACAGCAGGAAUUUCCCAAAAAAAUCCCUUUUAAAAUUGAAUUAAAAAAAAGUGAGCAGCAACAUGGUUGGACCUAGAAAUUACCACACUAAGUAAAGCACAUCAGACAGAGAAAGACAAAUAUCGUAUGAGAUCACUAAUAUGUGGAAUCUAACAAAAAAUGAUAUGAAAGAACUUACAAAACAGAAACAGACUCAAAGAUUUUGAAACCAAAUUUAUGGAAAACAAAUGGGAAAUAUGGGGUGGAAGGGAUAAAUAAAGGUGUUGGAUUGAUAUAUACACACUACUAUAUAUAAAAUAGAUAGGUAAAAAAGACCUACAGUAUAACACAGGGUUAUCUACUGAAUACUGUGUAAUAAUGUACAUGGGAUAAGAAUCUGAGAAGGAAUGGAUACGUAUAUACGUAUAACUGAUUUACUUUGCUGUAUACCUGACACUAACACAACUUUCUAACUCAACUAUACUUCAAUAAAAUUUAUUUUUAAAAAAAUGAAAAACUUAGGAAUAAACCUGAUCAGGCAAGUGAAAAAUUUACAUGCUGAGAACUACAAAACAUUGAUAAAAUAAAUUGAAAAUGAUUUAAAGAAAUAGAAAAAUAGGAGUUCCUGUUGUCACUCAGUGGUUAUGAACCCAACUAGUCUCCACGAGGAUGUGGGUUUGAUCCCUC